rnacentral:tRNA from 1 species
UGGGGUUUGGCUCAGUGGUAGAGUGCUUGCCUCUCAAGCAUGAGGCCCUGGGUUCGAUCCUCAGCACCAUAU